GUGACCACCGGUCAUCAACGCCGGCGACCACCACCUAUAGUGGUCAAAAAAUAAAAAAAAAAAACUUUUUUUUAAUCCUUUCGAAACCCUAGAGUUAGAUCUAGGGAUAAAACACCCAAAAAAGGGCGAGAUCGGUGAAAAAAAAAAAGGAAGAAGAAACCAUUCACUUUCUUCCCUCUCCGGCGAGGCCCUCAAUGAGGCUUCUCAAAUUGAAGGUGGUUCUCGAUGACGGCUCUUAACAGGUGGUAGUGGCAGAGGGGGUGUCAGACGGCAAGCCUGCCGACAUGGUAAGGUUGCGGCACAAGAGGGAGAUAGGUUUUCCGAAAAUCUUUAGGUUUUGGGCUGCUAGGUUAUUAGGUUUAGUAGGUUUGGGUUAGUGUAGUUUAGGUUUGGGCUUGUAAUUUGGGCCAAACUGUUUUUUUUUGUAAGCGGACUUUGAUAUUAAUAUUAUUUUUUUAUUUUUUGGUUUUUAUUUUA